AGAGCGAACGCUGGCGGCAGGCCUAAUACAUGCAAGUCGAACGGAUCCUUCGGGAUUAGUGGCGGACGGGUGAGUAACACGUGGGAACGUACCCUUUGGUUCGGAACAACUCAGGGAAACUUGAGCUAAUACCGAAUGUGCCCUUCGGGGAAAAGAUUUAUCGCCAUUGGAGCGGCCCGCGUCUGAUUAGCUAGUUGGUAGGGUAAAGGCCUACCAAGGCUACGAUCAGUAGCUGGUCUGAGAGGAUGAUCAGCCACACUGGGACUGAGACACGGCCCAGACUCCUACGGGAGGCAGCAGUAGGGAAUCUUGCGCAAUGGGCGAAAGCCUGACGCAGCCAUGCCGCGUGAAUGAUGAAGGUCUUAGGAUUUGUAAAAUUCUUUCAGUGGGGACGAUAAUGACGGUACCCACAGAAGAAGCCCCGGCUAACUUCGUGCCAGCAGCCGC
rnacentral:rRNA from 1 species